rnacentral:siRNA from 1 species
AACAGGCGUUGAUGGCCGU